rnacentral:rRNA from 1 species
GACGAACGCUGGCGGCGUGCCUAAUACAUGCAAGUAGAACGCUGAAGAGAGGAGCUUGCUCUUCUUGGAUGAGUUGCGAACGGGUGAGUAACGCGUAGGUAACCUGCCUUGUAGCGGGGGAUAACUAUUGGAAACGAUAGCUAAUACCGCAUAACAAUGGAUGACACAUGUCAUUUAUUUGAAAGGGGCAAUUGCUCCACUACAAGAUGGACCUGCGUUGUAUUAGCUAGUAGGUGAGGUAACGGCUCACCUAGGCGACGAUACAUAGCCGACCUGAGAGGGUGAUCGGCCACACUGAGACUGAGACACGGCCCAGACUCCUACGGGAGGCAGCAGUAGGGAAUCUUCGGCAAUGGGGGCAACCCUGACCGAGCAACGCCGCGUGAGUGAAGAAGGUUUUCGGAUCGUAAAGCUCUGUUGUAAGUCAAGAACGAGUGUGAGAGUGGAAAGUUCACACUGUGACGGUAGCUUACCAGAAAGGGACGGCUAACUACGUGCCAGCAGCCGCGGUAAUACGUAGGUCCCGAGCGUUGUCCGGAUUUAUUGGGCGUAAAGCGAGCGCAGGCGGUUUGAUAAGUCUGAAGUUAAAGGCUGUGGCUCAACCAUAGUUCGCUUUGGAAACUGUCAAACUUGAGUGCAGAAGGGGAGAGUGGAAUUCCAUGUGUAGCGGUGAAAUGCGUAGAUAUAUGGAGGAACACCGGUGGCGAAAGCGGCUCUCUGGUCUGUAACUGACGCUGAGGCUCGAAAGCGUGGGGAGCGAACAGGAUUAGAUACCCUGGUAGUCCACGCCGUAAACGAUGAGUGCUAGGUGUUGGAUCCUUUCCGGGAUUCAGUGCCGCAGCUAACGCAUUAAGCACUCCGCCUGGGGAGUACGACCGCAAGGUUGAAACUCAAAGGAGUUGACGGGGGCCCGCACAAGCGGUGGAGCAUGUGGUUUAAUUCGAAGCAACGCGAAGAACCUUACCAGGUCUUGACAUCCCGAUGCUAUUUCUAGAGAUAGAAAGUUACUUCGGUACAUCGGUGACAGGUGGUGCAUGGUUGUCGUCAGCUCGUGUCGUGAGAUGUUGGGUUAAGUCCCGCAACGAGCGCAACCCCUAUUGUUAGUUGCCAUCAUUCAGUUGGGCACUCUAGCGAGACUGCCGGUAAUAAACCGGAGGAAGGUGGGGAUGACGUCAAAUCAUCAUGCCCCUUAUGACCUGGGCUACACACGUGCUACAAUGGUUGGUACAACGAGUUGCGAGUCGGUGACGGCAAGCUAAUCUCUUAAAGCCAAUCUCAGUUCGGAUUGUAGGCUGCAACUCGCCUACAUGAAGUCGGAAUCGCUAGUAAUCGCGGAUCAGCACGCCGCGGUGAAUACGUUCCCGGGCCU